ACAUCUGAGAGUACUUCUUGGGAAAGAUGAUAUUGGACAAAUCCAUGAUUAGACCCUUUGUAAUGUUAACCAUCCCUACUGCGCUGGAAUUGAUUACACACAUUUGGUGAAAGGCAAUUUGAAUGUGACUACAAAAGACUUUUAAUUCCCAAGAAUCUGCAUCAAGGUGUAUGGCAAAAAGAAUAUAAGACAGAAGGAGGAAGCCAAAUAAACAAAGGAACUAUACCCCAAACCUCUCACAUGCUGCCCUGGCCCAGCACUGGAAAGAAUCUGGUUAUACUUCAUGCAAGUGUUAUAGGAUAUUUAAUGAAAUUAUCCUYAUUGUGGAAAUUAAAAACCAUGCUAUGCUAUGCUGAAACUGUGCUAUGUCUUGAGUAACUGGUUCGUCGUAGCAAAACCUCAUCUGUGUACCUAUGGAUAAUGGGAGAGGACCUGAACAACACAGAACUAAGGAAAAGUUUUUACACUGUGAAAGAAGGGUAGCAUCAUAAGCACAAACUCUGCUCAAAAUAUCUAAGCGUUUAAAGCUUUUAAAUAUCUCCUCCAUGUUUUAAGGGUAGUUGAAAUCCUAGAUUUUUACAUUUAUGAAGGCUGCUUAGAUUUUUUUUUUUGAAGCUGGAGCAAUCCGCA
rnacentral:lncRNA from 1 species